rnacentral:lncRNA from 1 species
GAUUUAAUUUUUGCAUUUUUUAUGCCCUUUCCAAUCGGAGAUUACUAAAGGGCGGGGCCACUUCCAACCACGGGCUGCACCCACACUCGUGAAGGGGGUCGGAUAGUGAAGACGGGGAUCGCCAGGCCGGGUCCAUAACUCCGAAAAAACUUUUUAGGAGGUGCCGGACCCGGGUCGUGGCACGCCAAUGUGUUAUCAUUCGGCAUCUGGCCGCCUAAAGCUGUCGCUUACCAUAUUGGAGGACUGUUCAGUUUCGGGUUCCACACCCAGUUUUUUCAGAGGGGUCCAACUCUGCCAUUGAAUUUCAUUCUUCAAACUUUUGAAUGAUCCUAAUAUGAGAGUUGGGCAGUGUAAUGACUAAUCGAUGUAUAUACUGGAUUGCCUGCUCAAUGUCAGAAAAACGAGGCCGUCCGCCAUGUUGCUGGACGGAUACUUUCGCCAAGUACAGCUCCGGCUGAAAAGUUUGUCACCUCACCGGAUACGUUCGGCUUCUUUAGAAUACUCGGCUUCAGCAUGCAUUAGUUUACUCGGCAACGUAGGCAUUAACGUGCGGGCAGAUGGAUCGUCCAUU